GUUUCCGUGAGUGUAGUGGUUAUCACGUCGUUUGCCUAACAUGCAAAAGGUCCCCUGUUCGAAACAGGGCGGAAACA